GGCAUGAGCACGGAGAGGGGCAGAGGGAGAGAAUCAAGCUGAGUGAGGAGCCCAGCAUGGGACUCUAUCCCACAACCCAUGAGAUCAUGACCUGAGCUGAAACCAAGAAUUGGAUGCUUAACAGACUGAGCCACCCAGGUGCCCCCACAUCAGUUUUUAAGAGUUUUUCAUGUAUUAGAGUUACUAGCCCUUUAUCUGUGAUUUAUGUUGAAAAUAUUCUGUUCCAGUUUGUCUCUUGCUUUUGACUUUAGUUAUGGUGUUUUUACCUUGAAAAAGUAUUUAUAUGAUCAUUUAUUACAUCUGUAUUUUUAGUUAUAGUUAGGAAACCCCUCCCUAGAGCAUGUGUGUUCUUAUAUUAUGUAUAGGAUCUCAUUUUUUUUCAUAUUUAGAUCCCUAACCCAUUUGGAGUAUAUUAUUUAUUUAUUUGGGAGAGAGAGAGCACACAUGCUUUCAUGCACAAGCAGGGAGAAGAGGGACAGAGGGACAGGUAGAAUCUUAAGCAGGCUUCACACUCAGCACAGAGCCCAAGGCAGGGCUUGACCUCAUGACCCUGAGACCAUGAUCCAAGCUGAAUCAAGAAUGGAAUGCUUAACACACUGAGCCACCCUGGCACCCCUGGAGUUUAUUCUUACAUGGAAUAUGAGGUGUUUGCUUUUGAAGCCCAGUUUUAUUUUUAAUUACACCAGGGUUGCAAAUUAACAUGCUCUAAAGAGGUCAGGAAAAAGUAAGAUGGAUGGAGUAAUAUAAUAGAGGGAGGGUUAUAGCCAGUCAGGAUUAUAUUAAAAAACCACACAGACACUGGGGGACCUGAGUGGCUCAGUCGGUGAACCGUUUGCCUUCGGCUCAGGUCCUGAUCUCAGGGUCCUGGGAUCAAGCCCCACAUUGGGCUCCCUGCUCAGCGGGGAGUCGGCUUCUCCCUCUCCCUUCCCCUCUCCUCCUCUUGUGAUCUCUCUCUCUGUAAUAAAGAACCAAAAUAUUAAUAAAUACAUACAUAAACACACACAGUGGGUGUGUUAGUUUCCUAGGGCUGCAUAUAUAAAUUAUCACAAACUUUGUGGCUUGAAGCCUUAGAAAUGGAUCCUUUCACAGCCUUGGAGGCUGGGUAUUUGGAAUCGUAGGGCCGGUGGGGCAGCUUGGUACGCCUUGGCCUGUAGCCAUACCACUCCAGCCUUUGCCUCCAUCUCCAUGUAGCCUUCCUAUGCCUGUGCCCAAGUGUCCGUUGUCUCGCAGGGCCCCCAGGCUUUGGGUUCAGGGCCCGCCCGAUCCAGUGGACCUCAUCUAGUGUGCAUACAUCUGCAAAGACCCCAUUUCCAAAUAAGGUCACGUUCCUAGGUGCCAGGUAGACAUGGGUUUUGGGGGGACACCAGCCCAAACCAGUGAGGGAAAGGUGGUGCUGUCUGGGGCCCCCACAACCUGUGUGCUGAGAGCGUGGGGACCCUCGCGGGGCUCUACUGCUGCUGCUGGGGUCAUCCGCGCCCAGCAAUGAAGAGUUGCUAUAUUGGGUCACUUGUGCUUCAUUCGGAAGAUCAGUUUUGAAAAUCUCUGAUAGCCUGUCACGUUAAAAUGCCCUGAAAAAAGGAAAAAAAAAAAUCUGGCCAACCAAGUGUGACCUAAUGGACGGCCUGCCCCACAGUCUGCAGAAGACAGGCUUGUUCAAUACGAAUAUUUGUGUUUCCCCUCGGAGGCCAGGUCUGUUUUGUUUUUUCUUUCAGGGUAAGGGGCGAAUUUCUACAAAUUCCUCUGCGCCCCAGAAAGUGCCAUUUCAUACCAGAGGGGGAGGAAGAUGGUUCUUCCCUGCCAUGAGAUGGGGGAAGGGGACUCUCUUGCAGCUCUCCCUGUAAGACCUCCCAGGGUAGGCAGAAUUCCAAGGAUGCCUCCCCUUCCUCCCCUCCGCCAGGAUUCGCAGCCCCUGGUUAUCCAAACACUAAUUUAAGUGAAGAGAUUAUCUGGGUGGGCCUGGCCCAAUCAGGUGAACCUUAGAAGUAGAGUGUUUUCUCGGGCUGGUGGCAGAAGGGGGUGUCGGCGAUGUCAGAAGGGUCAGGAGGAUGGGACAUGUCAGCACUGUUUGUAAAGCAGACAGGGCCGUAAGGGAAGGAAGCAAAGGUGGCCCUGACCUCCAGCCGGCAGAGGACACAGGGAGCUCAGACUUUUGGCCUCAAGGAAGUGGAUUCUGCCACACCUGCUUGUGCUUGUAAGCAGAUUCUCCCCCUGGCAAGAACCCAGCCACUGGCACCUUGAUUUCUGCCCCUGAGACCCUGAGCAGAGAUCCUAGGUGGCGUCUCUUCUGAUUUCUGGCGUGGGCAGCUGCCAGCUGUUACAUGGGUGCUGUUUCCGGCCUCUGAGUUUGGGGUUUUUAGGACCCGGAGCAAUCUUGCUAAAGUCCUUUAACAUAACAAAUUGUGUCUUCAGAGUAACAUCCCAGAAAAUUGCAUUCUGCCCCCCACUCCCGAAAGAACCAAGCAGCAAAGGCUUUUGCUCUAGGUGCCCCUGGCUUGGGGGCCAGGAGCUCCUACCUCGUUGACUCGGAGAUGGUGGGCGUAGCAGGUGCUCGGUAAGCACUAGCAGGUGGCGUUCGGGUCCUCAGGGGGAAUGCUUCUUCUAGCUCACCCCACCCCUAUGCUGUGAAGCCGCCUGCCCUGGAGCUCCUCCCCAAGAGCAGUUUCCUCGUCACAAAGGUGAGGACCAGAGAAGGGACCCUGCCUGCACAGGUGUGCCACCUGGGGACAGAUAACCACUGCUGGUGCUGGGCCGGGGAGGAGCCCUGAGCGCUGAGGGGCCACGUGGGCGGCAAGUGCAAGGUUGCGGGUGGAGGUACGGUCCACAUGGAGCAGGGCCGUUCAUGGAAACCAUUUCGUCUCUGACAAAUUUGGGGAUUCAUGUGUCCGAGAAAACCCUCAGGCGGGCCGAGGAGAGACGAGGCCCUGCGUCAGCGGCGUCUGGCGGACAGCGGGUGUGAGGAAGGAGAAGGACGCGUCUGAGGCCCCGACUGAGGCAAGGCUGACCCGAGGCCACGGGAGCAGGGGUGGGGGGUGGGGUCUGAUCUUGGAAGAAGACGUCUUUGUGCCUCUGAAGGGGGCAGGUGUGGUCCUUUAUAAUCCCUCCCCGAGACAGCAGGCUGACACAGUCUCUGUUAGGGGUCGUGUCCCCCAAAAAAGACGUUUUGGAGUCCUUAUCCCUGGUUCCUGUGAAUGUGACUCUAUCUGGAAGUAGAGUCUUUGCAGGUCUCACGGGCGGAGACAAGGUCACGAGGGUGGUCCCAAUCCACGGACUGGCGCCCUUCCGGAAGAGGAGACAAGGCCACGGUCACGCGACGACAGGGGCGAGGAGCCCUGAGAGCUGGAAGGACCUCCCGUCGAGCCUCCAGAGGGAGACAGACCCUGCACCACCUUGACCCUGGGCUCGUGGCUCCAGAGCUGAGAGAGAUCAGCUUUCUGCUAUUUUAAGCAGCCCCCGCCCCACAAUUCUCCCUUGUUGGGGCCUAGCCAAUUCCGUGGCUUGCCCACGGAAGCCUUCCCAAAGCCAUCUUCCCUCUGGUGGACCAGACAGGUUUAGGGCAGGAGCUGCUGCGGAGGUCGGAGGGAGCAGAUUCUCGUCUUGGCUCUCACCCCCAGCUCGCAGUGUGUCUCCCGUGUCCCCCCUCCGUUCGCAAAAUGGAGGUAGAAGUAUCUGCUUCAAAAGGCGGCUGGGGAAUGAGAGGAGAUCUUGCUCAGCAGGGCGUCAAGAAGUGGGGGCUGGUGGCCCCUCUAGGAGCAUCUUCCUCCUGUGUCCUGAUGAAGGUAGGGGUCCCACACCAGGCUUGGAGCUGGAAACAGUGGAGAUGGCCAGCGGGAGAAGACUGCCACGUCGCCUGGACUCUGAACGAGCUCUUGAUGCUGAAUGAGGCCCCCUGACCUUAGUGUGCGUGGUGUGUGUAUGUGUGUGUGUGCACAGCACAGAAAAUCCCCAGGUUGGCCCAAGCCAUUUCCGUGUCACAGAACAGAAACAACAGGAUGUUAUCACACCUGCUGUCAUUUAUCCAGUGGGUUUGGUGCACAGGGACCAGAGUCUCAAGUCACUUUUAAAGGACAGGCAGCUAGCGAGUGCGGAGCUAGGCCUCAAGGCUGGGCGCACUCUGUGCCUCCUGCCAAGCACGGCCAAACUAAAGGUUUUGGCACCCAAAGCAGGAAAGGCAGAAAUGCCAGGGGACAAAGCACUUUCAUGCCUCAUUUAACCCUGUGACAUGCCUUUGAAAUCAAUAGAUCCUUAUCCUCACCUGGCAGAGGAGGCCGUCAGGCCUUGAGGAAAGAGAGCAGAUGCUGACAGAGCGGGACCUGAGCAAAGGCUUCCUGGUCCCCAGUCCUGCUCCUCCUGUCCCCUCCAGGAUGGCACAGCUGGAGGCCAAUCAUAAGGAAGGUCCUCGUGGAGUGUCCCUUCCACUCGGCUCAGGUGACCUGGUGUCAUGGAGCUCGCAGCCCUUGUGGGGACCUGCCGGAGGAUGGGUACUUUGUAUGGUUUCUCCUGGUCCUGCUUUCGCAGGUGAAGAGGCUGAGUUCCCUCUGCACACAGCCAGCAGCACGGACCCCCGUCCUGGCCACUGUGUGGCCCUAAUCAUGUCAGAGGUUUCCAGACCAAGUGGAAGCCUCACCAUCACGUGUGGACCACCACACGUGUGUCGUGCUUGUGGGUGCCAUGUGUGUUUGACGUCCGCUUCCGGUCUUGUUUGAAGAGUUGUUUCUAUAGCUGGUGUUUCUUUAAACCACUGGUCCACAUGUCAUGUGUGUGGUUCUCCUCAUGCAUGGGCUCCUUGGUGCUGAGACUUUCUCUCUUCCGUGCAGGGACAGCAUGCCACACGGACAUCUGUACGGAACCAUCAGAGCUGAGCCUGGUUAUGAAAUGCGCAAAGGCUGUGCUAGCACAUCCCAAGGGAAGCUCUAGAUGGACGCCUUACAUAGACACUGGCUAAAGUUUGCUGAUGGUUGUUCCGACGUCCCAAAUAAGUUUUUGCAAUGCUUCGUCCGAAGGUCUCCCUUCUCUUCUGUAAAGACGGUGGUACCACGCCAAUUUCUCCAAUUAGUACAGCAUCUUGUCUAUCAGAGACGGUCUGUUUUGUGUAAUUAUGUUUCUAUCCUCAUGCUUGUGGAGAGGAAUUUUUCCCAAAGUAUUGUUAAUAUUUCCUUAGAACACACUGCGAGCCCCAGGACGGGAAAGACUUGAUUUGGAAGAGAAUUUGGGGGUCACAUGAGGUUAACUUCUUAAUUAGAAGAUGAGAAAAAAGGCAGAGGAGCCAUUGGGGACCCCCCGGCCGACCCACGCACCGGCCUGCCUUGGGGAGCGGACGGCCGCCGUAGAGAACAGUUGUGUGACUCGCACAUCUUCGUAUUUCUGGUCACCUGUCUUUGACUACGUCUUUCUAUAUCAAGUGUAUGAUAAAGUUGAAUGGUAAUA